UGAUGACGCAACGCCGCGUGGGGGAUGAAGGUCUUCGGAUCGUAAACCCCUGUCGAAUGGGACGAAUAGCUUUCGGAUUAAUACCCCGGAGGAAUGACGGUACCGUUAAAGGAAGCCACGGCUAACUCUGUGCCAGCAGCCGCGGUAAUACAGAGGUGGCAAGCGUUGUUCGGAAUUACUGGGCGUAAAGGGCGCGUAGGCGGCCAUCUAAGUCAGACGUGAAAUCCCCCGGCUCAACCUGGGAACUGCGUCUGAUACUGGAAGGCUCGAGUUUGGGAGAGGGAUGUAGAAUUCCAGGUGUAGCGGUGAAAUGCGUAGAUAUCUGGAGGAAUACCGGUGGCGAAGGCGGCAUCCUGGACCAAUACUGACGCUGAGGCGCGAAAGCUAGGGGAGCAAACGGGAUUAGAUACCCCGGUAGUCCUAGCCCUAAACGAUGAAUACUUGGUGUGGCGGGUAUCGAUCCCUGCCGUGCCGAAGCUAACGCAUUAAGUAUUCCGCCUGGGGAGUACGGUCGCAAGGCUG
rnacentral:rRNA from 1 species